ACCAUUGUUUCAACAUGAAGGUUUGUAAUAAAAAUUUGUUUCUAUCAGCAUUGCUUUGCAUUGCUGUUGCAGGAGUUUUGGGUCAAGCUCCUAGUAAUCCUCCUACGUCUACGCCGGCGCCACCCACACCACCGGCUUCUACUCCUCCUCCGACGACUCAAGCACCGCCUACACCAACCGCCACUCCGCCACCGGUUUCUACUCCUCCUCCCACUUCAUCACCGCCCCCAGUGACAGCUUCUCCACCCCCAGUUUCAACUCCUCCACCCAGUUCUCCUCCUCCUGCAACUCCACCACCUGCUUCUCCUCCUCCUGCAACUCCACCUCCAGCUUCUCCACCUCCUGCCACUCCUCCACCAGCUUCUCCACCUCCCGCCACUCCACCACCUGCAACCCCACCGCCAGCAACUCCUCCUCCUGCUACCCCACCACCAGCUCCAUUGGCUUCUCCUCCAGCCACAGUCCCAGCUAUCUCUCCAGUACAAACACCAUUGACAUCGCCACCAGCUCCGCCGACCGAGGCCCCAGCACCUACCCUCGGGGCUGCUACGCCAGGUCCAGCUGGAACU
rnacentral:lncRNA from 1 species